AACGAACGCUGGCGGCAGGCCUAAAACAUGCAAGUCGAACGCCCCGCAAGGGGAGUGGCGCACGGGUGAGUAACGCGUGGGAACGUGCCCUUCAGUACGGGACAACGUCGGGAAACUGACGCUAAUACCGUAUAAUAACUCCGGUUCAAAGAUUUAUCGCUGAAGGAGCGGCCCGCGUCUGAUUAGCUAGUUGGUGAGGUAACGGCUCACCAAGGCUACGAUCAGUAGCAGGUCUGAGAGGAUGAUCUGCCACACUGGGACUGAGACACGGCCCAGACUCCUACGGGAGGCAGAAGUUAGGAAUAUUGGACAAUGGGGGAAACCCUGAUCCAGCCAUGCCGCGUGUGUGAUGAAGGCCCUAGGGUUGUAAAGCACUUUCGUUGGGGAUGAUAAUGACCGUACCCAAAGAAGAAGCACCGGCUAACUUCGUGCCAGCAGCCGCCGUAA
rnacentral:rRNA from 1 species